AAGUCGUAACAAGGUUUCCGUAGGUGAACCUGCGGAAGGAUCAUUAACGAAGAAAAUGGCGUUCGAUCCCGGUUAGGGAUUCGUUCGUUAGCCCUUCUUCUCACCCUGUGCACCGUGACUUUUUUCGCGCUAUCGUCAAAGUUGGGGAUGUUGUAUAAUGAAGAAAAAUGAAAGGCAUAAAAUGAAGCAACGGAUCUCUUGGCUCUC
rnacentral:misc_RNA from 1 species